GAUGAACGCUGGCGGCGUGCCUAAUACAUGCAAGUAGAACGCUGAAGGAGGAGCUUGCUCUUUCCGGAUGAGUUGCGAACGGGUGAGUAACGCGUAGGUAACCUGCCUGGUAGCGGGGGAUAACUAUUGGAAACGAUAGCUAAUACCGCAUAACAGUAGAUAUUGCAUGAUAUUUGCUUGAAAGGGGCAAUUGCUCCACUACCAGAUGGACCUGCGUUGUAUUAGCUAGUUGGUGAGGUAACGGCUCACCAAGGCGACGAUACAUAGCCGACCUGAGAGGGUGAUCGGCCAAACUGGGAAUGAGAAAAGGCCCAGACUCAUACGGGAGGCAGCAGUAGGGAAUCUUCGGCAAUGGACGGAAGUCUGACCGAGAAACGCCGCGUGAGUGAAGAAGGUUUUCGGAUCGUAAAGCUCUGUUGUAAGAGAAGAAAGAGAGUGAGAGUGGAAAGUUCACACUGUGACGGUAACUUACCAGAAAGGGACGGCUAACUACGUG
rnacentral:rRNA from 1 species